rnacentral:rRNA from 1 species
CUCCUUUGACGUUAGCGGCGGACGGGUGAGUAACACGUGGGUAACCUACCUAUAAGACUGGGAUAACUUCGGGAAACCGGAGCUAAUACCGGAUAAUAUUUCGAACCGCAUGGUUCGAUAGUGAAAGGUGGUUUUGCUAUCACUUAUAGAUGGACCCGCGCCGUAUUAGCUAGUUGGUAAGGUAACGGCUUACCAAGGCGACGAUACGUAGCCGACCUGAGAGGGUGAUCGGCCACACUGUAACUGAGACACGGUCCAGACUCCUACGGGAGGCAGCAGGU